rnacentral:rRNA from 1 species
AACGUAGGAGACGAACGUUAUCCGGAGUUACUGGGCGUAAAGGGCGUGUAGGCGGUUUGUUAAGUCUGGCGUGAAAGCUCUCGGCUAAACCGGGAGAGGUCGUUGGAUACUGGCGAACUAGAGGAUGGUAGAGGCGUGUGGAAUUCCGGGUGUAGUGGUGAAAUGCGUAGAGAUCCGGAGGAACACCAGUGGCGAAGGCGACACGCUGGGCCAUACCUGACGCUAAAGCGCGACAGCAUGGGGAGCAAACGGG